CGCUGUUUAUCGUUAUGGCGCCCCGCUAAACAUCGUCUUUUCGCCCCGCCAUAACGCUGUUUAUCGUUAUGGCGCCUUCCGGCUAGUCAUGCGCUGAGCAAUCUUUCAUAGAAGAUGGCGGAGCAAAGCAGUUACACCCGCUUUUUGAACGGAGACAAUACCACUAGUAUCCUUUUUAUUUAGCUUUAAUAACCCUUUAGGUGAGUUUUAAAAUGGUUUGGUACACAUUGUACCGCUUAUGUUCACUUGUGCUGUUACAUAAAUGUUCGGAUGUACGGUUAAGUUGCUUUUUCAAUUUUACAUUUUGAAAUCAUAAUUUAUAUUCAGUAAAAAUAUGUAACAUGUUGUUCAAUACAAUUUCUGAUAAUUUUCCUUAAACAUUGUCAGAACAGGAUCUAAUUAGAGAAUAUCAUUUUGCUGGCUACACGUACUCCGAGAUUAUUCUUACUCUUUUCUACCGACAUCAUGUGUCUAUAAGCUGUAGACAACUACAUCGGUACUCAGAUCACUAGGUCUUCGUCGUCAGCAUGCGGUAACGGAUGAAGUAGUUCAAGCUAUACAGGAGUAAUGUGUUGACUCUUCAGCGCGACCUGACCCGGACGGUGUUCGUAGCAGACAGAUGCACCGAAGGGCCGAAUUACCUUAUACAUGUCGAUGGCUAUGACAAACUGAAACGAUUUGGUUUUGCCAUUCACCGUGCAAUAUGCGGGCACAGUUGAUUACAAGAUACUGGUGGGUAAUGAAGACAUCGAAGGAGUGAAAGAACUCUGUACUUCUGAAAAUGUUCAAGUUAAUUCUGAAGUAGUCACUGUAUUAUAACAGGAUAUGGGUGAGAAGAGGCUUAGAAAGCCAUCCACAUAUAGGGAAGCUCUGGAACUGCGGAGAACUAGUUCACUACUGGUACUAAGACAAUCUACAGAUAGCCUACACAAUGGCAUAGUAGAGCAAAAUUUGAGUGUGCUUUUUUCUGUCUCACUAUCAGCCCUACGUACAGACAGCGUAUAAAGGAUAAUAUUUACAAUAAUCAAAAUAUUUGAAGAGAAAUACUAAUAUGUUUUGAAGGCAGAAGUGAAUUUCAGUUCGAAACUCUUAUAGUUAGCCUGAACUCAUAUGUAUACCAACAUUUCUUGUAUUUUACAUGCAACUACACUUCUUUAAGAAAAAUAUCGUAAUGUAUACAUUUGUCUAUCCAAUGUAACUUUGGUAAUUAAAGCAACAUGCAUUACCUUGCUGGGAAAAAUCUAGUUCCACUUGAUGUAUUUUGUUUACGAAAUAUAUUCCCGCAUUAACAGAUGUAUUGAUAAAUAUUGAUUUUGAUUUUUGGAAAUAUUUAUAAAACACUGAUAUCCCAUCCGUAUUUCACAUGCAAAAAAAAGUUAUAAAAAUGUUGCAAAGUAAUUAUAACCUACCUGGCAUCAUGCAAAUGAUUGAAAAAAUGUCAUUAUUACCACAAACAUAAAUGCUCAGAAACCAUAAAAUAUCAAUUUUGAAAAUAUUUGGGUGAUACAAUUCUUCGGGCAAUUUUAAGGAAAGUCCGAGUUAUUAUUGCGAUAAAAACCAGUUAAGCCUGGUGUCAUCAUAUCUAACAACUAGUAGGAUUGUUAAAGCAUUAUUCGUUUGUGGUAUGUCCAUUUAUAUAUUGAACAUUUCGUUCGCACUAUUUGUGCGAAAGGUGAGUUUAUUCUGUAAUGAGGUACCAUAUUCAAAGUAAAAUGGAGUGAGCUGUUAGAAUUUGAUUAAUUAAAUUCGGUUCUUCGCAGUUUUACAUUGAUGCGAAAAACACGAACCAUGGAUGUGUACGACAAACAUUCAGCUUCAACAGCCGUUCUUAUUUCUUCACAAUUGGUUUAGUCAAUAAAAGGACAUGUUGCUCAUAGUAGCCAUCACUCAUAGUUUGCCCUUAA